rnacentral:hammerhead_ribozyme from 15 species
AACUAGUUGGGAGCUGAUGCCGCUCUCCUAAUAAGGCCAUGGCAGGCCGAAACUAGUU